GCAGUGCAGAGAGUAGAAGUGUCAGUGGUGUCUUCCAGAGUCCGGGGGAUUAGCAUGGAGCUUCUUGGACAGGGUGAUGGCUGCAGCUUGCAGGGCCUGGGCUUCCAGAAUGGGAGUUCCCCAGAUUUGUCACUGCUGAAGGAUUAAAGCCCCGAGAGCCUCUGACACAGGCGUCUCCCAGAGCCCACUUUCUCUGGGUUGCCUGACAAGAUGUGAGCUGUUACUCGCGUGUGACACAGAUCUGACCCCAAGCUCUCUCACAGAGGGAGAGAAGAAUUCACUAUGUCUUCCGGGGCUGGCUUCAAACUUCACUUUUGGUUUUAACAACCAGCCUGAAGCUAGCAGGCUUCAUCAGAGGGGAGAAACCCUUUGGGGCUAUCCUGAGCAUUUCCAUCUCUGCCCAGACCAGCCGUCUCCAAUCCCUCGAAGAUGAAGAGCCCAGAAGAUGGUGAGGACUGUAGAAUGAAAGGCCAAAAAGGUAAGGCCUUUUAUAACACUGUGUGCAUGCUAGAAUUAAGACAUUUUUAUCACUUUCUGUUAAGCAUCUACAAUUUUAGAGGGAUAUAGUCUCACUCAAAGCUUCACUGAUUGAAUUGUUUAACUUGUUUUUGUUUUUAUUUUUGGUGGUACGGGAGUAGAACUGGGGUUGAACUCAUGCAUGCUAAAUGAGAUUUUUCAUCUUUUUAAAGUGCCAUGACUGAGCUAUAUCCCUAGCCCUUUAAAAAUUUUAUUUAAAAAGGGCCUCACUAAGUUACCCAAGUUGGCC
rnacentral:lncRNA from 1 species